rnacentral:rRNA from 1 species
CAGUAGCCGCGGGAAUACGAGGGGGGCAAGCGUUGUUCGGAAUUAUUGGGCGUAAAGGGGGCGUAGGCGGUUUGGCAAGUUUGGUGUGAAAUCUUCGGGCUCAACUCGAAGUCUGCAUCGAAAACUGCCGGGCUUGAGUAUGGGAGAGGUGAGUGGAAUUUCCGGUGUAGCGGUGAAAUGCGUAGAUAUCGGAAGGAACACCUGUGGCGAAAGCGGCUCACUGGACCAUAACUGACGCUGAUGCACGAAAGCUAGGGGAGCAAACAGGAUUAGAUACCCCAGUAGUCCCUGUCUCUUAUAC